UCUAGCAUCUGGGCCUGAGAAAUAGGCCGUUUACUUUGGGAACGUUAUUUUUCCAAACAUAAAAAUAGUGCCCCCUAGCUUCAAGAGGUUAUUAAACAACAGUUUCUUUCCCAGCUACAUCAGUCAACUAAAGCCAAUUUCUGCUCCGUUUACUUUUACAACUCGGAGAAAGAGCGCAACACUGACAGCAGUUGCCUCUGUUUGUCUCUCCCGUGCUGGUCCAGCAAGCCUUUCAGGAGCUCUUCCUUCACGCCGCCUGUCAGCCCGCUCUGUGGUGUCCGCGCAGUCUUCAAUCCAGCCGACUGAAACCUCCAAACAGCCUACUUGGUCCAAAAGCACACUGAUGGUGUUUUUGGUAUCACAGUGCAAUGAUAAAAAUACAAUUUCAGAAUAUGGAGGGGUCAUGACCCCCCAUCCCCAGGGAAAGUUGCGCCCCUGAUGAUUUGUACACACACACACACACACUCACACUCACACACACACACUCCAGAUCUACGGAAAGUAGUCAGAACUCUCUCUCGUUCUCUCUCCCUCCAUCAGAGAUCAGUCUAAACUCCAGGAACCCGUCAGCUGAGAUCUCUAUCGUCCCAGAAUCCUCUCUGUCUGCUGACGUCCGUUCGCUACGUCCCUCCUACUCCUUCUGCAAUGGGAAGGAUCUCCUCAGCUAUCCCCACGGCAACAUCUGUGAUGUCAUCGGCCUGGUGGUGUUUUCUGGUCGGCCUGAAAGAAUCAGGAGCAAGGUUUACAUUCCAAUCUCGAACACCACAGAGUAUAGAGGCAGCGUAUUUUAACGACCGCCAUAAAACAACCGACUUCCUGCUCUCCCCCUCUACGAGAGAGUUGUAGAGCGGACCCCCCUGUAACCUGAUCCUUCAGAUCAUCACAGGAGAGUCAUGACACUGGUGAUGGUGACGAUGAUGAUAUCUUCCUUGUGCAGAUGGACAGGGUAAAGAGCUGUUGGAGUAUCGCUGGCUCCGAUUGGAGGACGGGACUUCUGAUCAACCAAUCAUGAUAAAGCUCUUCUCAACGUCUCAACCAGAGACACACAACAAGAUACUCCCACGUGAGAUACUACACACACACACACACACACACACACACACACACACACACACACACACACACACACACACACACACACACACACACACACACACACACACACACACACACACACACACACACACACACACACACGGACUCCUCCUAUACUCUACUCAUACCUAACCUCCCCUCAACUCUCUCCCUCU